rnacentral:tRNA from 3 species
GUCGGUGUGGCGGAAUGGCAGACGCACCAGCUUGAGGAGCUGGCGCCCAUCACAGGGUGUGCAGGUUCGACUCCUGUCAUCGACACCA